rnacentral:lncRNA from 1 species
ACUCCAUACAGGAAGUGAUGAAGAGGCUACCUACAGGGUUGGUAAAUGAAGGCAGAUUAGUAGCAAAUGUUUGUAAAGUAAAGUAAAACCAAUAGCAGACUAGCAGCAGAUAAUGGACGACUAACACAUCAAGACUUCCACAAGGGUGAGACUAUAUAGAUUUCUCAACAAUAAUAUUUUUAAUUAGUUAAGUAUAUAUUAUUUGUUUUUAGCAUAUUUAAACCACUGUAAAAGAAACAUGUGUCUUUGGAUUUCUUAAGAAUCUAGUGAAAUUUCUUUUUUGAGAAACCAUGUUUUCAUCUCUUUCUUUCUUUUUUUUACAAAAUUUUCUAAUUAGUAAAAAAUUCUACAAAAGAUCCCGCUUGAAAAUAGUCUAACAACAUUUGGAGACAUUGUCUUGUGAAAUUUAUGAGUAAAUACAAAUAGUGACGAAGAGGCUAUCUGUAAAUAUUGGAAAAUGAAAGCAGAUUAGUAGUGGCAGACGUUGGAAGGCAAUUUGAUGGCAUAUGAAGAAUAACAUAGUCACACAAACUAAUAUUGUCUUGUUGAAUUUAUUAGUUCAUACAAAUAGUGAUGAAGAGACUAUCCAAAGAUGUUGGGAAAUGAAGACAAAUUAGCGGGAGACAUUAAAAAUAAAAAUAAAAUUAAUGGAAGACUGAUAACAUAUUAACACACGCACAAAACUUCAGUUUUUUUAAAAAUGACAUAAUACUUUUGGUCAAACACAAAACUAGUUUAAGAACAUUUUGACAUUUCCACUCUAACAUAUCAACUAUUCACAAAAACGUCAUUACAUCCUUUUAAUUUUUCAUUCUAACAUAACAUAUAAAGUUGAUGUUUAAUAGUAUCUUACAAAAUUUUAAACUACAAGACUC